UUGGGAGUGGCGCAGCCUGGUAGCGCAAUUGCUUUGGGAGCAAUAGGUCGCUGGUUCGAAUCCAGUCUCCCCGACCA
rnacentral:tRNA from 1 species